CCUACGGGUGACAGCAGUGGGGGAUAUUGCACAAUGGGGGGAACCCUGAUGCAGCGACGCCGCGUGGGUGAAGAAGCGCCUCGGCGCGUAAAGCCCUGUCAGCAGGGAAGAAAAUGACGGUACCUGACGAAGAAGCCCCGGCUAACUACGUGCCAGCAGCCGCGGUAAUACGUAGGGGGCAAGCGUUAUCCGGAUUUACUGGGUGUAAAGGGGGCGCAGACGGCGAUGCAAGCCAGGAGUGAAAGCCCGGGGCCCAACCCCGGGACUGCUCGUGGAACUGCGUGGCUGGAGUGCAGGAGGGGCAGGCGGAAUUCCUGGUGUAGCGGUGAAAUGCGUAGAUAUCAGGAGGAACACCGGUGGCGAAGGCGGCCUGCUGGACUGCAACUGACGUUGAGGCCCGAAAGCGUGGGGAGCAAACAGGAUUAGAUACCCGAGUAGUC
rnacentral:rRNA from 1 species